GCCGAGCCUGGUAGCGUGGGCUUGUGAUCCAAGUGGAGGCAUUAAGGUGAUGGAACGUUGAUCUUGUCCAGAUGGCUGAGUCUAGUGUGAUGAAUUUCUGGCCCGCCCAUUCCAAGCCGAGAGCUGAGCUAUGUGACCCCAGCGAAGGCUUGGGCUACAUGUCUCCUAAAGUGGGGGGCAAUGCGUGAGGCUGGUUUCACAGAGCAGCGACAACCUCCCGCUCCUGGCAGUGGAAGGACAACGGGCUGUUGUCACCUAGGCUCAUAUUGUCUGAUGGGCUGAUAAAACUGGACCAUCACUUUU
rfam:Populus trichocarpa scaffold_9_contig_110, whole genome shotgun sequence.